UUUCGCCUCAAAAUUUCAGCGCCUCUCCCUUAAUUCCUCCUCCCUCCAGUCCUCACUCCUUACUCCUUCACUCUGCCCCAAUUCCCCAAAUCUUCCUCAUCUGUUUGUUUCUUCGUGGGCGAGGGCGCGGGCGCGAGGGGCGGACUGCCGGCUGCGGCUGCGGCUGCGGAAGCGAGGCGCGGAGGCGACGGAAGGGCAGGGGCCAGAGCAGCUGAGCCGACCUGCGAGCCCCGAGGAAGCCGACGGAGAGCGGAGCACCGGCCACCGAGCAGGGCAGCAGGCAAGCAGCCGAGCACCUUCGCAGGCGCUGCUGGCAUUCCCUUUUCGGAUUUCCGAUUUCCGAAUUCUGGUUAGGUUGUUUCAAUCAUUUUUUACUUUUAGUCUCUAAUUUUACACGUGUAUUUAUCACUUUGUUGAUUGUGGCUUUUGUGCAUACCUAUUUGGAGAAAUUUUCUUUUCUGGGCUGUAAAAGGGUGGUUUGUCAUUAGGUGUUUUGUAGUUGCAGCUUUUAGGUAUACCCUAGAUUUGGAGUUUUCUUAUCUGUUUGCAGGUUUGCUGCAAUGUUAAUAUUUUUGUUUGUGUUUUUUGAGGCUUAAUGUUGAAGAUUUUAGUUCAUUUGAUCGAUGAAGGCUACAUUUGUGUUCUUGUGAAGGUAACUCAUGGGCAUAUAUAUUCUUCAACCACAAUCUUGGAUGUCCAUGGGAUAUUGCAUUUGAACCUGCAAAGCUGCUAUGGCUAAUUCAGCGGGAUUUUCUACAAGGAAAAUCUGUGCAAGAGAUGGUUCAUGAAGCUCUGCAACAUGUUCCUAAUACUAGUGGUUAAGAAUAAAGGAGUGUGGUUGACUUCUUACAGGGAUGUUCCUAAACAUCACAAACUGUAAACCCAAUUGCCAGGCAA